ACCUGUUUAGCUCAGUUGGUAGAGCGCUCCACUUGAAAUGGAGAGGUCCCGGGUUCGAUACCCGGACCAGGGU
rnacentral:tRNA from 1 species